rnacentral:rRNA from 1 species
AGUGAACGCUGGCGGUAGGCCUAACACAUGCAAGUCGAACGGCAGCACAGUAAGAGCUUGCUCUUACGGGUGGCGAGUGGCGGACGGGUGAGGAAUACAUCGGAAUCUACUUUUUCGUGGGGGAUAACGUAGGGAAACUUACGCUAAUACCGCAUACGACCUACGGGUGAAAGCAGGGGAUCUUCGGACCUUGCGCGAUUGAAUGAGCCGAUGUCGGAUUAGCUAGUUGGCGGGGUAAAGGCCCACCAAGGCGACGAUCCGUAGCUGGUCUGAGAGGAUGAUCAGCCACACUGGAACUGGGACACGGUCCAGACUCCUACGGGAGGCAGCAGUGGGGAAUAUUGGACAAUGGGCGCAAGCCUGAUCCAACCAUACCGCGUGGGUGGAGAAGGCCUUCGGGUUGUAAAGCCCUUUUGUUGGGAAAGAAAAGCAGCAGGUUAAUACCCCGCUGUUCUGACGGUACCCAAAGAAUAAGCACCGGCUAACUUCGUG